rnacentral:rRNA from 1 species
AGAACGAACGCUGGCGGCAUGCCUAACACAUGCAAGUCGAACGAGACCUUCGGGUCUAGUGGCGCACGGGUGCGUAACGCGUGGGAAUCUGCCCUUGGGUUCGGGAUAACAGUUGGAAACGACUGCUAAUACCGGAUAAUGACUUCGGUCCAAAGAUUUAUUGCCCAGGGAUGAGCCCGCGUAGGAUUAGCUAGUUGGUGAGGUAAAGGCUCACCAAGGCGACGAUCCUUAGCUGGUCUGAGAGGAUGAUCAGCCACACUGGGACUGAGACACGGCCCAGACUCCUACGGGAGGCAGCAGUAGGGGAAUAUUGGACAAAUGGGA